rnacentral:rRNA from 1 species
GCCAGUGACGUUUUUGAAACGCGCUGCUCAUGUGUGAUAACUACUGGAAACGGUGGCUAAUACCGCAUAACGUCGCAAGACCAAAGAGGGGGACCUUCGGGCCUCUUGCCAUCAGAUGUGCCCAGAUGGGAUUAGCUUGUUGGUGAGGUAACGGCUCACCAA